AGAACGAACGCUGGCGGCAUGCCUAAUACAUGCAAGUCGAACGAACUCUUCGGAGUUAGUGGCGCACGGGUGCGUAACGCGUGGGAAUCUGCCCCUUGGUUCGGAAUAACAGUUGGAAACGACUGCUAAUACCGGAUGAUGACGAAAGUCCAAAGAUUUAUCGCCAAGGGAUGAGCCCGCGUAGGAUUAGCUAGUUGGUGAGGUAAAGGCUCACCAAGGCAACGAUCCUUAGCUGGUCUGAGAGGAUGAUCAGCCACACUGGGACUGAGACACGGCCCAGACUCCUACGGGAGCAGCAGUAGGGAAUAUUGGACAAUGGGCGAAAGCCUGAUACCGAGCAAUGCCGCGUGAGUGAUGAAGGCGUUAGGUUGUAAGCUCUUUACCCGAGAUGAUAAUGACAGUAGUCGGAGAAGUAACG
rnacentral:rRNA from 1 species